rnacentral:lncRNA from 1 species
CCGGAGAAACGCUUCAGCACCACCCCAGGAGAAUAGAGCGCGGGCUGGGGCUGCGGAGGGACCCGGCGACCUCUGUCAGGAGCGAGGGGAGGGCCGGGACGCCAGGGAUAAAGGGAAAGGCAGAGACCAGAGCUGCCCACCCAGGGACUCCCAGGGCAACAAAGCCAGGCAAACUGAGAGCGGGAGAGGCGGUGGCCAACUCAGCACAGGCUGCGGACUCAGCGUGGUGACAGAUCCCUCAAGCUAGAAGACUUCUGUUAGGAGAAGCGUUAUCCUGUCAGUUGAUUACCCUGAGUUAUUAUUAUUGCUGUUUGACAGAUGAAAAACUGACAUGGAGAAAAGUUAGACAAUUCCUCCAAAUCACAAAGAUAAUGCCUAGAUCUAGAAGCCAAACAGAUGGGUUGAAGGUGAUACCUAAUUUUAACAUUUGAUGACUCCUGCCAAAUUACCCUCUGAAAAGAAUUUAACAAUUUAUAUUCCUUCCACAUCAUUGCCUCUUUCCCCACAUCAUAAUGUAAGUCUUCUUAUUUUUUACUCACCAAAGGGAGAGAAAUAUUUACUGUUUAAAACUGAGCACCUUUUAAACUGCUUUUCUUUCUUUAUUGGCUUAACUCUUCAAGAUGUGUCUUUUUUCUGAUUGGACUAUUGUUUUUAUCUUUACUGGCUUUUAGAAGCUCUUUAUAUAAUCUGGAUAAUAAGCUUUCGUCAUCAAUAUAUGUUGCAGAUAUUUCCUCUCAGUGUGUCAUCAGAUUUUGUAUUUAUGUCUAUUUAUUAUGUCUGUGACCAUACAAAUUAUUAAAUUUCUUAUAAGGUUAGGCUAAGCUUCUUUCUUUAUGAGUUAAUGGGGGUUGUCUGUCUUAGAAAGGAUCUCUCAUUCCAAACCUUAAAACUAUUCUCCUAAUAAUUUUAGAUUUGUUCAACUGAGAGAGUGCUUAACUCAGGAGAUCAAUAAAGGUUCAUAGAGGAAGAAGUAUUUGAAAUUGUCCUGGAAGAACAAUAUUUUUCAACAGGCAGAGAUGGAGAAAGGACAAUCUACAUGAACAGAACAGCAUGAGCAAAAAGAACUGGUUAGAGACUAUCCAUAGGAUAAAUUUCUAGCAAAUUGCUGAGUCCAGGAUAUGCAUGUUUGCAAUUUUGGAAGAUCUUAAAAACUUGCCUCCUAUAGGUGUUGUACCAGUAUAUACUUCUGCCAGUAAUAGAUGGGUGGGCUGCUGAUGCCUCAAAAUGUAAGUAUUUUCAAACUUUUAAAUUUUAGCCCAUUUAACAUAAUUUAAAAAUUAUGUCUCUGUGUGAUUUUAGUUCCAUUUCCCUUAUUAUAUAUAAGACUGAACAUCUUGGCAUAUGUUUAAGGGCCAUCUGCAUUUCCUUUUCUGUGCACUGUCAGCUUAUAUGCUUUGCCCAUUUUUUCUAGUAGAUGGUUAGUGUUUUUCUUAUUGAUUUGUAUAUAUUCUGUAUUACUCCUUUAUCACAUUGCCACAAAGAAAUGCCUGAGAUGGUGUCAUUUAUAGAGAAAAGAGGUUUAAUUGGCUCACAGUUCCACAGGCUAUACAGGAAGCAUGGCUGAGGAGG